rnacentral:rRNA from 1 species
UACAGAGGUCCCAAGCGUUGUUCGGAUUCACUGGGCGUAAAGGGUGCGUAGGUGGUGAGGUAAGUCGGAUGUGAAAUCUCGGAGCUCAACUCCGAAACUGCAUUGGAAACUACCUCGCUCGAGGGUUGGAGGGGGGACUGGAAUACUUGGUGUAGCAGUGAAAUGCGUAGAUAUCAAGUGGAACACCAGUGGCGAAGGCGAGUCCCUGGACAGCUCCUGACACUGAGGCACGAAAGCUAGGGGAGCAAACAGG